UACGUAGGGUGCGAGCGUUAAUCGGAAUUACUGGGCGUAAAGCGUGCGCAGGCGGCGCGUUAAGACAGGUGUGAAAGCCCCCGAGCUUAACUUGGGAAUUGCGCUUGUGACUGGCGUGCUGGAGUGUGGCAGGAGGGAGGUGGAAUUCCACGUGUAGCAGUGAAAAUGCGUAGAGAUGUGGAGGAACACCGAUGGCGAAGGCAGCCUCCUGGGCCAGCACUGACGCUCAUGCACGAAAGCGUGGGGAGCAAAACAGG
rnacentral:rRNA from 1 species